rnacentral:rRNA from 1 species
CCUACGGGAGGCAGCAGUAGGGAAUAUUGCUCAAUGGGGGAAACCCUGAAGCAGCAACGCCGCGUGGAGGAUGAAGGUUUUCGGAUUGUAAACUCCUUUGGUUAGAGAAGAUAAUGACGGUAUCUAACGAAUAAGCACCGGCUAACUCCGUGCCAGAAGCCGCGGUAAUACGGAGGGUGCAAGCGUUACUCGGAAGCACUGGGCGGAAAGAGCGCGUAGGCGGGAUAGCAAGUCAGAUGUUAAAUCCUAUGGCUUAACCAUAGAACUGCAUUUGAAACUGUAAUUCUAGAGUAUGGGAGAGGUAGGUAGAAUUCUUGGUGUAGGGGUAAAAUCCGUAGAGAUCAAGAGGAAUACUCAUUGCGAAGGCGACCUGCUAGAACAUAACUGACGCUGAUGCGCGAAAGCGUGGGGAGCAAACAGGAUUAGAUACCCGGGUAGUC